AAUGCUAUACGUUGCGAUCUAUCACCUUCCAAUGUUCGCGCUGAACUAAUCUGAGGCUGAGGUGAGGUGGAAUGUGUUGGUGAACAAACGCGUCGAACCUAAAGUCUCUCUCUCUUGAGCGUCACGCAAGAUUGGUCAGAGAGCUGUAGUACAUACGAUCUAUUGAUGAGGAAGGAAGUAUGUGGUGCAAAUCCACGAAAAAAAUACGUUGUUUUCCGCAACACCCUGUCCAAUGCUGUUGUGGUGACGGACGCCAUAGCCGAAUCUCCACCCAUAAUUGCCGCAGCAUGAGCAGCUGCUGCCGCUUCGGAGAACAUCGAUCCAUUUUGCGCAAUUUGCUGCUGUUGUUGCUGCUGUUGCUGUUGCUGCUGCUGCUGCAUGGUCGUGUCCGUAUCAUUAGCACCCUGAGCCUGUGGUGUGAGAAUCAUGUGUGAAGCUGAUACGGGUGUAGUCUCUUGGAGCAUCGGUGUGGCGGAAUUGAAUGAAAUAAGAGCCUCCAUGGAUUCGGUGGUAAUUGUAUUCUGUUGACUCGUGAGAAUCUCAUUCAGAAUCAUAUUGUGUACCGUAUUUGGGGCAGUCGUUGCGGCUGCUUGGGUUGUUUUAUGAUCUGCCUGUGGGCUUGCAAGUAUUGGAGAUAUCAUUGAAUUCAUCAUUGUCUCCGAUGCUGUUUGUGGAAUCGUCAAUAGGGGAACCUGAAAUUUAUUUUGAGUUAUUUAAAGAAAAAAUCUUUGCCUAAUUUUUCUGUUUAUAUACAAUUUAUAUAGAAUAAUUUAUUUUAAUCAAUUUAUUCUAGAAGAAAAUAAUGAGAAGAUAACGUUUUUUUUGCAAGAAAAAUAAAAGCAAUUUCCGCGAAAGUUAAAAGCUCCAUAAAGUUACAAUUUCAUCAACAAAUAUUUGACUGAAAAUAAUUUAUUUACUACAGCACCUCAUAGUUUUGUAUAAACAGUUCAUUAUAUAGAAUUAGUCUAUUUUACAGAAAAGAAAGAUAAAAAUAAACAGCAUACAAAUAUAUACUCACAGGUGCUUCGAGCAUUGGAGAAUGUGCUCCAGUACUGGCAGAACAGAGCAUUGUUGGGGAUACGGUGGGAUUCAUGAUAAUAUCGGGUGACAUUGUAUGAUCACUCUGUGUCGUUUGCGAUGUAAGGGAUGGCGACGACAGCACAUUCAUCCCAUUCACCUCGGACAGCGUCACGACGGAUUGGGAAUUGAGAAUCACAUCCUGAGACAAUGGCGAUCUACUUGUUGAUGAGGGUGAUGCAUUGUUGCAGAGUAUUUGUUCAGAUGCAUUAGAACCAUCGCAUUGAAUGGCAAGUGGCCCAGCAGACAUAAAAUUUGUCUCUAUGGCAGCAGUACGAUUUCCAUUGAGUCCAUUUAUCUGU